ACCCGGCUGGCUCAGUUAGAGGAGCAUGGGACUCUUGGUCUCAGGGUUGUGAGUUCAAGCCCCAUGCUGGGUA
rfam:Canis lupus familiaris chromosome 10, whole genome shotgun sequence.